UCAGCAGCCGCGGUAAUACGUAGGGACCAAGCGUUGUUCGGAUUUACUGGGCGUAAAGGGCGCGUAGGCGGCAAUUCAAGUCAGCUGUGAAAUCUCCGGGCUUAACUCGGAACGGUCAGCUGAUACUGCUUUGCUAGAGUGCAGAAGGGGCAAUCGGAAUUCUUGGUGUAGCGGUGAAAUGCGUAGAUAUCAAGAGGAACACCUGAGGUGAAGACGGGUUGCUGGGCUGACACUGACGCUGAGUGCGCGAAAGCUAGGGUAGCAAACGGGAUUAGAUACCCCGGUAGUCCUAGCCCUAAACGAUGAAUACUUGGUGUCUGGAGUUUUUAUCCUCCGGGUGCCGUCGCUAACGUUUUAAGUAUUCCGCCUGGGGAGUACGCACGCAAGUGUGAAACUCAAAGGAAUUGACGGGGGCCCGCACAAGC
rnacentral:rRNA from 1 species